rnacentral:rRNA from 1 species
GGGUAUUCCACCCGUCACCCUAGACAGGCUUCGUUUCCUCCGGCGACGGCGGAACGAGCGAGAGAGUCCUCGGCGCGGCCGACAACCGGCUGCGGGAUCGCGCGAUUCAGCCGGCGCCAAGGGCCGCAGAACUAGCGGCACCGCACCGCGCCGCACGCCAUGGCAGGUAAUAACCCACCACCAAAGCCAUGGGAACGUGUUGGCACUUCAUCUGGUCCAGCGCCUUUCAAACCCCCAUCUGGAGGCAGCACAAGUGACGUUGUUGAGGCCUCUGGGACAGCAAAACCUGGGGAAGUUGUUUCUGCUGCACAGAGCAAUGCUGCUUUCAACGUGAACAAUCCAGUUGCAGGGCCUGUGCCCCCGCGUCCCUGGCAGCAGCAAGGAUACGGAAAUACUUAUGGGGGUUAUGGUGCCAGUACCUAUAAUUCAUAUGGUGGAUUUGGUGGGGCUUAUAGUAACGGCGGGCUAUAUGGAAAUAAUAACAUGUAUUCAGGGUAUGGAGGUGGUUACGGCAGUUCGUACGGGGGCUCUGGAAUGUAUGGUGGGUCAAUGUAUAAUAACGGGAUGGGAAACCCAUACGGUGGUAUGGGCAUGGCUCCUUACAAUCAGGGUCCUAAUUCAUUUGGUCCUCCAGCACCACCCCCAGGUUUCUGGGUGUCCUUCCUACAAGUGAUGCAUGGGAUUGUGAAUUUCUCUGGACGAGUUGCUUUCCUUAUCAGCCAGAAUACUCAGGCAUUCCACAUGUUCAUCACAGCUCUUUUGCAGCUAUGUGAUAAGUCUGGAAUGCUUUAUGGUGAGCUUGCGAGAUUCACAUUUCGAUUGCUGGGGAUCAAAACCAAACCAAAUAAGGGCAGAAUUCAGGGUGCACAAGCUCCAUCAUCGGAUGGGCCAGGCCAGCAGUUCGUUGAGGCACCAAAAGCUAACAAGAACUCAUGGGAGAAUGUCUGGAACGGCGAUGCUAAGGGAAUGUGAGCUGCUAUAUAUGUGUGCAGUUACAGUGACAGGUUUUGUUAGACGAGGACGAUGAGUUUGCUUAUGGCUAUGGGGAGAAAGGAAAUCUGCUGAUUUCUGUUCUGAUGCAUCUGCCAUUUGAACCAGAGCGAGAAAACCAAGUAAUCCCUAUUGCUCGUUGUAUUUACCGUGAUAUCUUUUCUUCCCUGGUAUCUGUGUAGUGCUGUUACGAGGAGUUUGCUGCUGUGAGAAAUGUGAGCUUGUAAAGUAUGGCUUUCCUGAUAAUAGAGUAAAUAUUACCCAAAAUGCCUUGUCCGGAGAAGUGGUCCACAAUAUUACUGUUUUCCGUCAUAUCCUUUUUAAUGAUAAAAAGAUAUAUUUUUAUUUUAGUACAGGAGUAUACUGGCGCUCCUCGUGAUAACGGCUUGGAAUUAUUAUCUGCUCUCACAGUUGUUUUCGCCAACAGGCGGAGUGAUCAUGAUUAAUCAGCAAUAUCCCUUCCCUUUGGAACAGUUGCUGGGACAGAUAAAAGUUCUUGGGCUCUUGCAGAGGGUAGUGCUGCUACUCGUAAGUGUUACUAGCUGCGUGGUGCGCGAAACUGGUCUGAAGUUGACAUGCGCCCUGAGCUCUGAGGCUGAAGCGCGUUGUUUCUUAUCCUCCUUGUUGCCUGAC